rnacentral:rRNA from 1 species
AGAGUUUGAUCAUGGCUCAGGAUGAACGCUGGCGACGUGCCUAAUGCAUGCAAGUCGCACGCACACCUUCGGGUGUGAGUGGCGGACGGCUGAGGAACACGUGGGUAUCUGCCGAGCAGUGGGGGACAACGGGCCGAAAGGUCCGCUAAUCCCGCAUACGUUCCCCUCACGGGGAAGAAAGCGGUAACGCGCUGCACGAGGAGCCUGCGGCCCAUCAGGUAGUUGGCGGGGUAAUAGCCCACCAAGCCGAUGACGGGUACCUGGUCUGAGAGGACGACCAGGCAGACUGGGACUGAGACACGGCCCAGACUCCUACGGGAGGCAGCAGCAAGGAAUUUUCGGCAAUGGGCGCAAGCCUGACCGAGCAACGUCGCGUGGUGGAUGACGGCCUUCGGGUUGUAAACACCUUUUGCGAGGGAAGAUGAUGACGGUACCUCGCGAAUAGCCCCCUUUCCGCG